AUGGAACAAUUUUUUCUAAAAAAGUACAAAAAGAGGGGAGCCCUAAGUAAUAACACUAGCGAUAACAAAAUAGCCGUAACUAAUGAAAGGGAGGAGAAAAAAGAGAAGGAAAAAGAGGAGGAAAAAAAGGAGAAAAAAAAGGAGGAAAAAAAGGAGGAAAAAAAGGAGGAAAAAAAGGAGNNNNNNNNNNAAAAAAAGGAGGAAAAGGAAGGAAAAAAAGAAGAGAAAAAAGAAGAAAAAAAAGAAGAAAAAAAAGAUGAAAAAACAACAAUAAUCACAGAAAGUGUCUAUUAUAUUUACAAAAUCAAUCUGAACAAUAUAUAUAAAACCCAUUUAAAUAUACAUAAUAAUCUGUAUAAAUAUAUGAAUGUAAUAGUUGAUAAACAAAAUAUUUGUUUUGUUAAUAUAAUUACCAACAUAAAUUAUUUAAUAUCAUUUUCAUUUGAUUGUUUUUUAGAAUGUCUUAAAUUACAAUCAGACAAUAUACAAAUUAAAAAACAUGCUUACUUAGAAAAUAUUCUUUAUUUUAAUAAAAUAAAAAUUAAAAAUAAAAAUUAUAACAUAUUUUUGGAUAAACAAAAAUAUAUAUAUUUAGAAAAAGUUAAUAAUGAUACAAAAUGUGAUGAAACAAACGUAAUUGAUCAAGGUAAUUUGUUAGGAGUGUAUUCAAAUAUAACCCCUGCCAAUUUUUUAAUUACUAGUACUCUAUGUUCAUACAAAAAAAAAGAAAAUAACGAACUAUCCAAUACUAUUAAUCAAGAAACAUUUCAAAAUUUAGAAAAAAAUCACGAACAUAGUUUACUAUUCUCAAUCAAUACAAGAAAAGAAAUCAGUGCCAAAGAUGUGAGUGAACAUGUUGAAAAUGUGAGUAAAAGUACCAAAGAUAUGAGUGAAAAUGGAAAUUCUUAUUUUUUCACACAGUUAAAUAUAAUUUAUUACAAAAUAUAUAACGUUAUAUCAAGAAAACAAAUGUAUAAAAAAAAAAAAAAAUUGUUUUUAGACGUGGUAGAAACUGGAGAUUUGAAUGUCCAUACAACAAAAGAAGAAAAGAAAAAAAAUGUAAACAUAGAUGUAGAAAAAGUGAUAAAUGUAAGUAGUAAUAAUAAUAAUAAUAAUAAUGAGGCUAAUAGUGUGAUUAAUCAUGAGUCUAAUAAUGAAACUAAAAAAAAAAAUAAACAACUCGAAAGCAAUGAAAUAAUUAAAACAAGUAACCAAAAAACGAUGAUAAAACAAGAAAACAGUAUAGAAGAAAAACAAAAAAAUGAAGAAAAAAAAAAUGAA
rnacentral:lncRNA from 1 species